AUUAAAAAUCAGAACACAAAUAAAAAUUUAAAGAUUUGGAAUUUAAAGUUGAAGAUACCAUCCACUUUAAAUUGAGAGCAAAGCAAAAAGAUCAAGCAAUGGACAAUAAGAGAGAAAAGAAAACAAAAUUAAAGACCAACAUGGAGGUCCAACAUCAGUCUAAGGCACUUAAGCAGAGAGAACAGAGAAAACAGACUGGAGAAACCAUCAGAGAAAAAAUACAAGACAAUUUUCCAGAAUGGAAGAAGGCAAGUUUUCAAAUUUAAAGAGCCCAUUGAGAACGCAGCAAAAUGGUUGAAAAAAGACCACAUCAGGGCCUAUUCUUAUGAAAUUUUAGAUCAGUAAGGAUACAGAUAAAGCUUUGCUAUAGUAGCUUUUGACUUCUUGACUUCGACAUUGGAAAUUAGAUGAAAAUGGAGCAAUGCCUUCAACAUUCCAAGUGAAAAUGAAUUUCAGCCCCAAACUAUCAAUCAGGCAUGAGUGUAGAACAAGAAGUUUUAGAUGUGCAAUUUUUCAAAAAUUUUACCUUCUGAGGAAGCUACUGGAGGGUGUAUGUCAGUAACACGAGGCAGGAAAGCAGAAAGAAGGCACAGGACACAGAACAGAGGCACUCCAAAACAAGAAAAGGUCACAGGACUCCCAGGAUGAUGGAGAGGAGCAAUCGGAGGUUCUCUGGAGCCAACUGUGCCUGAAAGGAGCCAGGACCACAUGCAGGGGAAGCGGCUCAAGAGAACGAAGCAACACUGGCCACUUCCGUUGGAGGGUCAGCAAUGGACUGACUGACAGAUAGAUGAAAAACAUAGAAAAUGAAAAAUCAAGCAGUUAACUCAGGAAAGGCAAAAUGUUGUACAAGAACGGAAAUGUAAUCAUGUUCUGCACCUGAUCGCCCAGCUAGAGACCUUUCCAGGCCUCUAUUGGAACUAGAUGGAUGUAGCCGUGUGACUAAGUUUUGGUCACCAGAACGUUAGCAGAAGUGAUGUGCCCAGGUCUGAGUAACAUCUGGCCUUCCGCUGCCUCUUCAUUUCUUCCCACAAAUCAGAGGACGAAAGGAGCGUUAACCAUGAGGACCGCUCGAGGACAGAAGACAUCAAACUAUGACUCCAGCCCGACCUGGUCUGCCACCUGUUUUUGUAAAUAAAGUUUUAUUGGUGUAAAGCCUCGCCCAGUCAUUAAUAUAUUGACUUUGGCUGCUCGCAGGCUUGAGAAGUUGUGACAGAGAAUGUAUGGCCCACAAAGCCUGAAAGAUUUGCUAUCUGGACUGUUGCAGAGGGGU
rnacentral:lncRNA from 1 species